rnacentral:rRNA from 1 species
UACGUAGGGGGCAAGCGUUGUCCGGAAUCAUUGGGCGUAAAGCGCGUGUAGGCGGUCCGGUAAGUCCGCUGUGAAAGUCGGGGGGCUCAACCCUCGGAUGCCGGUGGAUACUGUCGGGCUUGAGUACGGAAGAGGCGAGUGGAAUUCCUGGUGUAGCGGUGAAAUGCGCAGAUAUCAGGAGGAACACCAAUAGCGAAGGCAGCUCGCUGGGACGUUACUGACACUGAGAUGCGAAAGCGUGGGGAGCAAACAGGG